CGCAAUUUGGAAAUUUACAAUUUUUUUUUUUUUUUUUUCAAAUUACAAUGCACGACUUCGUCGAACGUACUCGUACUUCUUCUUAUAGUAACAGUUGCUUAGAAUGGGACGUGAACAUUCACAAAGGAAUAAUUUUAAUUUGUCUUUAAACAAAAUUUAUAAAAAUACACAUUUUUUUAUAUUGCGAAAAUGUCUUUUUUUGUCUUGUAUUAAAAAGAUUUUUAAGCGAACCAAAAUUCAAAAUCGUUAUAACCGUUUUUUUUUUUUAAUACAUAUAUCUACUCCCUCUAAGUCGAAUUUUCCUCUUAUUCGAACUUUUUCGACUGGAAUUCUUUGUAGACAUAGUUUUUGAAACAUUAAAAAAAUGGUAUGCCAUUCAAACGAAAUAUUUAGUAGAAACAUUAAAGCCAAUUUUAGAAAAGAAGUCCCAUAACCGUUUUAAAAAACUGAUUUUUUUAAAUUCCUUUUUUUACAAGAAAUCGAAUUGCAUACUUAGUUUUGUGUAAAAGAUCAUAUAAAACGGUGUUAAAUUAAUUAUAAAAACAGAUUUUAUUUUUUUUUUAACAUUACUAACUAAUGAAAUUUCUUAAAACAAAUCAAAUUAUAAAUUUUACCUCAUUUUAUUCAAUAAAACUCUAACAUUAGAGACACAUUCCAUAAGAGCAGGAAUGUUCGACUCAGUCGUGCAAUUUAUUUAAGGGUAUUUAAGAAAAAAAUAUAAAGCAAGUUAAAAAAAACUAAUCAAUUUUACUGGGGACUUAGUCGUGCAAUUUAUAUUGUAGGGAUCUCGAUAUGGCAUUUUUUCCUAUUAUUAUUUAUUAUUUAGAAAAAGCAUCUAUUUCUUUCAUUAAGUAUGGUACUCAAAUCCCCAGGCGAAUUGUUUUCGGGCGAAAUCUAUAUGCAAGCUGAUAAUCAAGAUAACAUGCAGCAAAAUUGGCCAAAAUACUCCAUAAUAAAGGAUAAAAUUAACGAAAUCAAAAAAUAUUGAGUAUUAUAUUACUUAGGUACUGAUUUUUGGAAACAAAAAUAAGGCACACACAACAAGAAAAUCCAUCAGCAAUAACAAAGAAGCAACUUCACCAAUGGUUUU